CCGAAGCGGUCGCACUGAAAAAUGUGUUUUUCAUGUGUGUGUGUGUGUGUGUGUGUGUGUUCAAACAAUUGGAAUAUUUAAAAUUGUGCGAUCGCGUUUUGACAUCAUGUUCAAGUUCAUGUGUGAGUUAGCACAAUGGGCGACGUCACCGCACCACACCAGUGAGUGAGUAAAGUAAAGAGAGUGCAGAUAGGUUUGACCACAAAGCUAACAGGCUGAUAAUUCCUACUAAAAGGGUGUGGAAUACUCCAGACGUCCAGUUCUUAAGAAAAUAUCUAUCUGAAGACAUAAGAAGAGUGAAGAAAGAUUAUGCUAGUUUUUUAUAUCAGAAGAACUGCUCAGUUGCUUUCGACCAUUCGACCAUUUAAUUUUUAUUACAUUGCAUUCUGAAUUAAUAGCGAUGUGAUGCAGUUCCCAAAAAAAGAAGAGAUUUUUAAAGAAAAAGAAGUUCUAAAGAGAUAAUAUGAAACUCUGAAAAGAUGAGUAUUUUAAGAAAAGAGAUAAUGUU